AAUAAUUUAAAAAAAUUAAAAUCAAAUUUCCUUACGUACACUGCUAUCUUUUAUGGAAAUUAGAUUAUUUUAAAAUUAUAAAGAUUAUUUCAACAAGAUGGCAAAUUCCGGAAAUCAAAAUGAAAACAAAGCUUCCGAUUUUAUACCUGUAGUUUAUAAAUUUCGUGUCCAACCAAAAACCAGGGGUAAAACAUAUGCUCUUCAACAACCAUUUGCUACUUUAUGGGAUAAUUUAAUUACAGUAUUGUGGUCAGUAUAUAGUAAAGAACGAAAAAUUCAAAUUGGAAUAACUCAAUUGCAGUGGGCACUUGAAUUUAUGAAAUGUAUGAAAGUAGACCACGGUUAUCCAGAAAGUAUAGAAAAAAUUGUGGGUGAACUUGAAGAUCAUUUAAUAGGACUUUAUGCUAAAGUAGGGCAAAAAUUACAGGAUAUUAAGGAAAAAAAAGCACAAAAGGAAAAACAACAAAAAGAAACAGAUGAAAAUGAACAAGAUUAUGUAGUGACUGAUGAUUGUAAUUCUUACAACGAAAUGGAUAUAAUGAAAAAAAUAGAAAAUUUAAAACUACCUAUUGACUCAGAAACUGGCGAGGUAAAAUACUUGUCAGCAUUAAAUUCAUUGGGGAAGAAGAAAACUAGGAAUGAUGACUGUACAUCCGACCGAAAAGAUUUAAAAAGCUUCACUGUGUUUUGUUUCGGAACCAAGUUGUUAUUAUGAGUUGGGUGGUUAGCCCUACGUCAACCCCCAUUAAUCUUCAAGUUUUGAAGAAUUUCUCCUCCCUCUUUAUUGGUUACAUUACUGGAACCAGUAAGGGGCUAUUGCCGUGUUUUCCACAUCGGGCGAUGGGAGCGCCACUUUUCCUACACCAUUACCUAUUGGAAUCGUCCACCUGGGACUUUCUGCCAGUAGGAGCUCGGGACCCCAGGUUCGCUACGCCGAUUCUCUAAAUAAUGAAUAUGUGAUUGAUAAAUUAAAAAAGGCGUUGAGCAAGACAACGGAUGACGCUAAAAAUGCAGCAGUAGAAGACUUAAUCAAACAACUUGGGAAAAAUAAAAAGUAAAUCCACCUAAG